rnacentral:lncRNA from 1 species
CUCAGAUUUUGUAAGGAUCCCUCAGGGUCUGUCUGGAUCUAUGAGGAUCCCUCAGGCUCUCCUAGGUUCUGUGGGAUCCCUCAGGGUCUCUCAGGUUCUGUGUGGAUGCCUCAGGUUCUGUCAGCUUCCCUCAGAUUCCUUGAGGAUCCCUCAGAUCCUGUCAGCUUCCCUGGGUUCUGUGAGGAUCACCCAGGUUCUAUCAGCUUCCCUCAGGUUCGGUCAGCAUCCCUCAGAUCCCAUUAGCUUCCCUCAGGUUGUGUGAGGAUCCCUCAGGAUCCCAUUAGCGUCCCUCAGGUUGUGUGAGGAUCCCUCAGGAUCCUCAGGUUCUGUAGGCUUCCUUGGGGUUCUGUGAGGAUCACUCAUAUUCUGUCAGCUUCCAUCAGGUUCUGUGAGGAUCUCUCAGUUUCUGCAGGUUCCGUCAGUUUCUAUCAGGAUCCCUCCGAUCCCGUCAGCUACCCUCAGGAUCUAUGAGGAUCCCUCAGGUUCUGUCAGCUUCUCUCAGGCUCUGUCAGGAUCUGACAGCUCCUCUGAGCUUACCUCAGGAUCUGUGAGGAUCCUCAGGUUCUCUCAGAUUCUGUGAGGAUCCUCAGGUUCUCUCAGAUUCUGUGAGGAUCCUCAGGAUCUCUCAGAUUCUGUGAGGAUCCCUAAGUUUCCCUCAGGAUCUAUGAGGGUCCCUCAGGUCGCCUCAGGUUCUGUGCAGAUUCCUCAGUUUCUGUCAGUUUCCCUCAGGAUCUGAGAGGAUCCCUCAGGGUCGGUCAGCCUUCCUCAGGUUCAAUCAGGAAUCCUCAAGUUCUAUUAGCUUCCUUGAGAUUCUGUGAGGGUCCCUCCGGGUCUGUCAUCUUCCAUCGGGUUCCAUGACAUAACCUUAGGUUCUCUCAGGAUCUGUGAAGGAUGCCUCUAGGUCCUCUCAGGUUCCAUGAGGAUCCAUCAAAUCCUGUCAGCUUCCCUCAGAUCCAAUACAUUUCCCUCAGAACUUCUAAGGACCCCUUAGGUUCUGUCAUCAUCCUUCAGAUUCCGUGAGGAUCCCUCAGGUUCUGUCAGCUCUCUCAGGUUCCGUGAGGAUCCCUCUAUCCUGUCAGCUUCCCUAGAUCGCCUCAGUUUCCGUCAGGAUCUGUGAGGAUCCCUCAGGUUCUGUCACCUCUCUCAGGUUCCAUGAGGAUCUCUCAGAUGCCAUCAGCUUCCUUCAGAUCCCAUCCAUUUCCCUCAGGACUGCAAGGAUCCCUUAGGUUCUGUCAUCGUCCCUCAGAUUCCGUGAGGAUCCC